ACUUUCCUCUCCUCUAGGUGCUUCAGAAUUGAUUCUUUGAUUUUUCUCCAUGAUUUUUCCAGGGACAUAGUGAAGCUAACUGGCCUGUAGUUCCCUAGAUCAUCGUCCUUCCCUUUUUUAAAGACUGGCUAGUCUUUUUCCAGUUAUCCGGGACCUCCCUGGAUCGCCAUGAGUUUUCAAAGAUAAUGGCCAAUGGCUCACAUCCGCCAACUCCUUUAGCACCCUCGGAUGCAGCGCAUCCGGCCCCGUGGACUCGUUCAACUUUUCUAAAGAGUCCUGAACCACUUCUUUCUCCACAGAAGGCUGGUCACCUCCUCCCCAUGCUGUGCUGCCCAAUUUUAAAGAUUAAGAACACAGAAUUAACUCCAUUAGUGAGCCUAGAUCACGGGUGUUAAACUCAUGCAGAGGCGAGGGCUAAAUGUUUAUUAUCCAUAGGCUACAGUUUAAAUUCAGGAUUGUCUACUCACGUUGCACAAGGGAUGCCCGUUGUCAGAGAUUUGCAGAGAUCUUAGUUUUUCAUUUACUACACAAAAUAUUUAUUAUUUCCAGCUCUCAUAUCUAUGGUUCAGUGAGGAAAAUUCUGCUCCCCUUUUGGCCAUCACUAUUUUGGGCCUUUGUUUCUCUUCUUUACCCACCCUCCUUUAUCUGUUUUGCUCAGCCUUCCCUAUCUUUGAGUCUUCUGUUCUCUCUGCAGCAACUUCCAAUUCCAACCCAAUGGGCUUCCCUCCCACCUCCUAUUUCCAUCUGCUAAAAUGAUCAGCAAGUCAAUACUUAAUGGUGACAUUGUAUUUUCAUCAUUGGGUUCUAGAGCUGACAUUCCAAUAAGAUUAGUAGGGGAAGGAUUAGGUUGCCCUUCUGUCAUUGUUUCAAGCCGUCUGCAGACUCAGGCAGAUAUCACUGCAUUGUUUAUGCUUGUUUCAUAUUUGGAAGGUAACUUCUCUAGCCAUAGGACUAAAUGGGUUUUUUAAUAUGAAAGCUGACAUUGUACACAGACCGGAUAUGUCCUGUGUGCCCAAUCUGGCUUAUGGUCUGUAUGUUUGACCCUCCUCCCUCCAUUUGGAAAUCAUGGUAUCCUGGUUCCCUUCAGUGUCUCUUCCCAGAGGUCAAAGGGUGAGGUGGUUUCUGUCCCAUCCAGAGUGUCUCCUGUGUGUGGACUGCUUAAGUUGGAAAUUGGGAUAAUGCAUGCAUAAUAGUGAUGGAAUAGUGAAUAGGCUUUUGUCAGGAAGCCAUAAGCAAGCUGUGCUGUUUGAAAUGGAGAUGGGCAUUGACAAUUUUAAACACUAACUCUGCUAAAUUAGAACAGAUUUUCAUGAGGUCAGAAAAAGGAACCACUUCACCCCAGGAGUACCCUGCCAAAUUUCAAAAUGCUGCUGCAAACCAUGGAGGCCUUUUAUUUAAAGAUGCAAGAAUUCUUUUUAUAACAGAUUGUGAUGGUCAAUCUAAUAUAGGGAAUACUGUCACUUCAACUUAACUUUUUUGUUGUUGUUUUCUGCUUUUUUUUACAUUUGACAUUUAGUUCCUGUGAAACUUUGUAGAUUAUAUGAUGAGUGGAGGACUAGUGAAAUAUCAGAAGAGCGCAGAUAGUGAAAAUUGAUCAGUUAAGAGACAGAACUUGUAGUUACUAUUUGUUUGCUCUUCUAAUACCUUUUUCACUUUAGUGACUGUCAUUUUGGAGAACAGAUGCUUUGUUAAAGGACCAUCUCCACCUCCCUCAUAUCCCUGCACUUCAUUUAAAGUUGUAUCUAAUAAUACAAGACACCUAGUAGGUUCUCCUGCAAAAUAAGAGUAGAUCAGGCUUUGUAAUUUCUAAAAUGAAAUACAAGCUGAAGUAAACCUUUCAGGCCUCUUUAUGCAUAAUAAAAAAAGUAAGGAAUCAAAAAAAGUCCUAUAUUAAAAAUGCUUGUUUGCAGAUAUAUUAGUCUCAUUAAAUAAUUUUACAUUAAUAUGCCAUUCAUCAUUCAAAUUCCCAAAGUGCAUUGCAAACUACAUAUGCAGCUCUCAUUACCAUUGGAAUCGAGCCACUUCUAAAGUAGCACCCAUGCUUCCAUGUUGAACCAACCUUGGUGUUUCUUCGGGAAGAGGAGGCUGGCAAACUUCAGAGAGGGAAAUGAAGGUAGUCAGAACACAGGAACUAAUGCCUCUGUUUGCAAAAAGUUGUGUUUUGGAAGAUUGUGGCAUAUGCUUGUAUGAUAUGCUUACCUGUUAAAUGUUUAUCAGUCGUGACAAACCUAAUUGAUUGUAGGGCCUAGGGUGCACAAUUUCUGGAAAGUUUGAAGGCAUGGAAAAACCCAUUAUUUUAUCUUUUUUCCAGGAAAAAAAUGGAAAUUUUGUUUAAAAUAGAAAUACACCUCUACCUCACUGUCCUCGGGAGCCCAAAAAACUUACUGUGUUACAGGUGAAACCGCGUUAUAUCGAACCUGCUUUGAUCCACCAGAGUGCGCAGUCCCCCUCCCCGGGCGGAGCGCUGCUUUACCGCAUUAUAGCUGAAUUCUGGCCCAAUGUUUCUUCAGAUAUUUAACUCAAGUGGAACAGCUUCAACAGGACAUAUAGUCGUCAUCUCCAUGCCCCCCUUGCCUAGCUAGAAGUUCUUAGGAAAAUCUGGCAGGAUUAGAGCCCCAGGGGAUGAGGGAUUCUGGUUAUGCCAACUUGGGUUCACCCAUGUACAUUCCUCAGUUCUUUUAGCCACGUUGAAGGAAAUAAAUCCCUCUGUUUUUCUCUAAGCCCAGACUGUUUGUAUCAGCUAUAAAGAUCCGGUUUUUCACCCGGACCAGAAUUGCUUAAUCUGAUUGUCGGGUUGCUAGGUCGUUAAAUCUUUGUAUUUCUCUUGGUAAGACACAUUUAUAUUUGUAAAUUCACAGAAACUUACCACUAGGUGGCCGGUUGUCUAAGCAGUAUUAAUAGUUUUAAAGGUUUUGGAGAGCCUAAAGAAAUGCGUGUCUUUCUUGUCCCUCUCUCCUCCACCUCUGCACUAAAGGAAGUUUGGGGGCUGGUGACUUUUAUACCCUUUGUACAAGUUUCCAAAGAAGGGUUUGAUCUCUUACCAGAAUUUUGGUAAUUCAGGUAAUCCAGGUUUGAUUUAUCCUCAACAGAAUCAAAACAACUGCAUAUAAUGGGGCACAAGGCCUAUUCCUCUGCAUACCAGACUCUGAAUGUCCCCAAUUACUGAGUGCUCAUGAACCUUUUAACUUCUUUGUGGAUAAGGGCUGCUUCCUGGGCCAUACUCAUUCUGGGCGGAGAACGGGGAAGAAAGUUAGUGAAUCCUUCUUGGAGUAGGUUAGGAGAUGGUGUCAGGGCAUAUGCUGGGUGCAUCAUAUGAAGGACCAAACUGUAUCCAGCUCCUUUGCUUUGGCCAUGGCUUUUAUGAAGACCCGUUUGGGUUAGGAAUUUGGAUUUGUUCUUCAUGGCCCAUGCAAAGGCUUUUGAUCUCCCUUUCAAAGGUUUUCAGGCCAAAGAUGGAUGGGUUCUGGAGGAAACUGAAAACAGAGUAAAGUUGUUUUUUUAUAGCAGUUAUUCACAAGCACAUUCUGAAAAUCAGUCUCUCUUCUAUCAGAGAACAAAAUGUCGUAACUCCCUUUAGCAGUGUGUGUCGGGCAGAACUGCAUCCAGGCAACAGAUUUGAAGACUGGACUGAACAUUCAUCAUCCUUACGGAGCAACUGAGCGUGUUCCAGCUUGAGGGGCUGCUCUGGUAACUGACCGCAAGGAGACAACGCUGCUAUGGUUUGUGCUCCCCUAGCUGGUGACAGGUUGGUAUGGAGAAUGAGUAGAUAGUCUGACUUGCUUGAUUGUAGAGAGGUGAGGUGGGGAGGGUAACACUGGGGCAGGCUGGUGGUGGUGGCAAUGGGAGCAGGGGUAUGGAGACAGGAUUGGACAGGCUGGGGAUCAGGGAGAUGGGGAUGCAUCAGCAGGAGACAGCAGAAGUCUAGCCACUAGAAUACACUUCCCUGCAGAACCUAGAUUUAGAACCCAGGACUCUUGAGUCCCAAUAGUCCUCUGCUGUUGGCAGAUAGCUGUGAAACCCAGUGGCAAAGUCUCUUAUCCUCCUAUUAGGAUUUAUGUUUAUGAUGCGGAUAGACACCCCUGGCUGGCCUGUGGCACCUAGCUCAGGCUAAGGGGCUGUUUAAUUGUGGUGUAGAUGUUUGGGUUUGGGCUAGAGCCUGGGCUCUAGGACUCUGCGAGGUGGGAGGGUCCCAGAGCUCGGCCUGAACCUAGAGGUCUAAACAGCAAUUAAACAACCCCUUAGCCCAAUCCCCGCGAUCCCGAAUCUGUACGGGCCAGCGACAGGUGUCUAAUUGCAGUGUAGACAUAACCAUAGUGACUGAAGUCCACAUACAAGAUAAGUCUGUUCCUGUUAUCAGUUAUCCUGUUAACUGGCUGGGUUGUGGCUCUAAAGGUACCAACCUUGAUCUAGACUUGCAUGGGAAUCUGUGGUUCCAUGUGAUGGAAUUUGUAUUUUGCUUUUUUUAAAAGUAGGAAAUUAUAUUCCUCCUCCCCCCCACCCCCCUGGAUUUAAAAGAUCUUUGAUUGCAAAGUCAGGCAAUCAAAAGCUAGAAAAUGUCAGAAUUAGAUUUCUGUGCAACCUUAAUUUGGCCCUCUUGUGCAUAAGUGUUGUUGUGCAGUAGUUAAUUUAUGAUUACAUUCUCUUUUUCCACAGAAUCCUUUCUCAUUAAGUGCACAGGAUGGAUGGUGCUCGGGGAACGAAUCAGGGUCAUGUAGUGAAUGAGGCUGUUUGUGGAACCUGUUGUGAUAAUUGAGCCUACAAAUUUACCCUAAUUGUAAGCUCAAUUGUAAAAAGUAUGUGCAAGUUCCUAAGUUGUUACAAUAACCUGUAAUAAAUAUUGAUAGAAAAUGCCUCGUUGCUUUCAAUAAUGCAUGUUAUAAACUGGUACAAGAAAACCAGACAGACGAAAUUAGUUAACAGAAAAAGGCCAUGUUGAUAAAAUUCAAGGAUUAUGUUGAAAUCAUGUUUGGUAAAAACGGAAUAUGUGGAACAAAAAUUAAUUAACCAAAAUUGGUGUCGGAUAUUAGACCUAACUGAUGGGCAAAAUAAUGAGGGGAUGGGCUGUUCUAUCCAUCACUCCUUUGUUGGGUUCUUAAAGAGAGACUUUGGGGGGGGGGAAGGCAGAAUGGUGAGGAACAGAUGAAGACUACUGAAGUGAGCUUCAUCAUGGCUGCCACCUCCACCAUCUCCUAGGACCCUGGACUUUUUUUGUCCCAAUCCUAAGUGAUGUCAGACCAGACUGGACCAGAGAGGAAUCCAGAUGACUUUGCUACCCCCUACCAGCUCCAACUGAAUCCCAAACACCUGAGAUGAAAUGGGAUUGGACUUUAAAAAUAGCAACUCCAGCUCAUCUCAGCUAACAUCUCCAGCUUCUUCUCUUUUCCACAAAAGGACAGUUAUUACCAUCUUUGUUACUAUCUAAGGCUAUGUCUAUAGUGGCACUUUUGUUGCUUAGGGGUGUGGG